GAACUGCGAAGUGUUGCUCAUACCUGUCGUGGUCGUGAUCAUCUCCUUGAGAAAGGGGUUUUGUGAUGGUAGGCUAGAAAUCCGUGUUUUAGUCGUAGUAUUGCACUCUAAUGAUUGCAUUUUACGUAUGUUUGAGCUUAAUUGAUAGUAAAUUAUACUUAUUACGUGUUUUAUGCCUUGUAGGAAAUGAUUCCGAGCUAUUUAGGUAAUUUGGAGCGAAAUCGAACAAGUUGGAGCUUUGAAGUCUGAGUAGAAGCCCAAGAAAUUAAGUCGGGGUCACGUUCGGGGAUCGAGGACCAAGUCCGGAUAUCAAAAAGUGAACACAUGAAUUUACUCUGAGAAAAAGCCACUACUGCGCCGCAGUGCAAAAGUAGUCUGACAAGCAAAAUGUGAGCUCUCUGGAUUUCCUCACUAGCACGCCGCAUGGGGCGGCGCGGCUGUGCAAAAUUGUCAGAGUGAUUUCCAAGUUCGGCUAGGAAUGAGUAGUUUCGCCCGGGCUUAUUUCUACACGGCACAAAAAUAUCAAAACACGAUUUUGAAGGGACUUUUGACCUACG
rnacentral:lncRNA from 1 species